rnacentral:lncRNA from 1 species
GAGAAACAUCACAUUUCACUGGUGACAUAAAUUCACAACCAAACUGCACACAACCUCUUUACAGAUUAAUUCAUAGAUUAAAAUGAAAAUAGACAACAUGUACAACAUAGUCCAUGCAUUUAUUUAAACUGCCAAAAUGCCAAUUAUUUACAUUAUUUUACACUGAUUUCUGCUAAAUUGCUUUUGCGUCUGUUAGGAGCUCAUUUCUUAAUGCUAUAUAGAUAUUCCAAAUUUUUUAGAAGUUUACAGAAUAUUACAAAAAUAGUAUUGAAUCAUCUCCUCCACUCAUUUUUACCUUGAGUCAAAAUAAUUUAAAUCUCACUUAGUUUAAUUUUCCAUCUACUUUUAUAAGGCUUUUUACUGCACUAAAUUUAAAGUACUGUUGUUUUUCUAGGGGAUACUAAUUGCAGUCUUUUUUUUUUUUUCUUUCCAAACAAUUUCACUUUUCCUUCCAAUGUUCAUCUUUAAAUUCCAUCUUUAUUACUACAAUUGCACUGAAUGCUAACAAGUGCAUUGACAGCUGUAGGCAUGUAGCUUUCUAAUACUACCUUGCAGGCAAAAUGACCUUUUUCUCUUCAAAUAAAAACUCUUUCCUAUUGACAUUAUCCUUUUCUACAUCACAAUAUCCUAUAACAUAGAAGAAGAUGCAACACAUGCUGUUUUUCUCAGAGAUCUGUUUCCACGACUACAUAUUAAUAAAAGCUUUCUUGGAUGGCAUUUCCUUCCUGAGAAAUCUCAUACCCUGCCAAUGCAGAGAGGGUUAAACUCUUAACAGAAAAGAUGAAAGAAGGUAUCUGGGAGCACUGAUGAAGAGGAAAGGAGAUCUGAGAAAUUACAAAGCAAGAACAGAGGUUCUGCGUGCUCCGUGUUCAUUCUCUCUCUUUGUCACAUUGGGAGGCCAGGAGGCAGCGACACACAGGAACUGUCCUUUCCCUCUCCACAUGCCAAGAUCCUCAAGCCAGUGAGUAAUGGGAACAGGGUUGUGGCUAAAUUGCUUUAUGGAUCACCAUUCAGUAAAGAGAAUUACCUAGAAGGAGGUAACCCAAGCAAGAU